rnacentral:rRNA from 1 species
AGUCUCCGCUCUCUGCAUGUUUUUGUGAGUCAUCUGAGGAUUGAUUCUCUAGAGGCUUUCCUCAAACCUUUCAAAUUGCUGUCAACAUUGGAUCUGCAAGGAGUUCGAAUCAAGAGACUACCAGAGAUGGUCUUCAACCUAUUUAAUAUGCGCUUUCUAGGUCUUCGGGAGACUCUUAUUGAAUAUCUCCCAAAAGAAAUAGGAAGGUUACAGAACCUGGAAGUCCUUGACGCUUACUUUGCUAUGUUAUCGGCGCUUCCAGUGGAAGUGACCACACUUUGGAAACUGAAAUACCUGUAUGUGGUUACUAUUCCAACUGGAGCUUACAAGAGAGUUCUUACUUUUGAAGGGAUCCAGGUGCCUAAGGGUAUCGGCAGUUUGACUGACUUGCUGGCCCUGCAAGCUAUCGAAGUUAGCAAUGAGGUUCUGUAUCAGCUGGGAUGUUUA